rnacentral:rRNA from 1 species
GACAAACAGAUCAAGUCAAGCUGUAAUCGGUGUAAAAGGAAGUUAGAAAUUGUGUUGAAGAGAAGAAAAUUUUUCUUGCAGAGGUGGAAUUUGCACAAGAAAGGGUAAAUUAGAAGUUCUCUUUUUUUUGAUACUUCGAAAUUAAAACAAGAGACCGGGAUUAGAUACCCCGUUAUUUUUAGCUUAAAAUCUGGUUUUCCUACCUGAGUAUUACGGGUGAAAAUUCUGUAUUGUUAAUAAGGAUUUUUAUUUAGCCUAAAACUCAAAAAACUUGGCGGUGCCUUAUUUCUUUCCAGGGGAACCUGUCCUGUGAUCGAUAAUCCACGAUUAAGCUUACUUUUUUUUGUAGUGUGUUUACCUUUCAGUUUGUAUACCGUCGUCGUCAGAUUACCUUUAAAAGAAUAGAAGUUGUCGGUAAAGUAAAAUUAAAUAGGCAAAGCUAUAGGCUUGUAGGUGAAUAGCAAAAAGCUAAUUUAGUAUGUUUUGAUGUCAGAUCAAGGUGCAGCUAAUAAAAAAGGAGAGAUGGGUUACAGUAUAGAUUUAAUUUGAAUUUUAGGUUGUAAAACCUAAAUGAAACUGGACUUGGAAGUAAUGUAAGAUUAAAAUAAAUUAGAUAGUUAAUGUGAAUGCUUGUACUAAGGCGCGU